AGGAUGGGUGUACCCCUUUGCAGUAUGCAGCUCAGGAAAACAAUGUAGAUGUUGUUCGUUUCCUGCUGGAGGAGGGUGCUGAUGUCAAUGCACAGGAUAAGGAUGGGUGGACCCCUUUGCACAUUGCAGCUGAGCAAAACAAUGAAGAUGUUGUUCGUUUCCUGCUGGAGAAGGGUGCUGAUGUCAAAGUACAGAAUAAGGACGGGAGGACGGCUUUGCGCGUCGCGUCAACAUUAAACCAUGCGCACGUUGUUUCUUUGCUGAAGGGUGAGGACGCCUGUAUACAGGAUAAG